UACGAAGGGGGCUAGCGUUGUUCGGAAUUACUGGGCGUAAAGCGCACGUAGGCGGGUGGUUAAGUCAGGGGUGAAAUCCCGGAGCUCAACUCCGGAACUGCCUUUGAUACUGGCCAUCUAGAGAUCGGAAGAGGUAAGUGGAAUUCCCAGUGUAGAGGUGAAAUUCGUAGAUAUUGGGAAGAACACCAGUGGCGAAGGCGGCUUACUGGUCCGACUCUGACGAUGAGGUGCGAAAGAGUGGGGAGCAAACAGG
rnacentral:rRNA from 1 species